GGGGUGUAUGUGGGGUGUCAUCUUCAAGGUCUGUGAUAUCCUGAUGUAUGAAGGUAGGGGUCACAUUAUCUACAGUCUUAUCUACCGCUUUCUGCAGAUAUUUCUGUAUACAGGGGAGUAUACAACAGGCUGAGAACAAAAAGAUAAUGAAUACCAUGAGAACAGCUGUCCCUACCUGAAAGAGGGUCUUUUGCCAGCCAUUCAUCCACCCAAACCAUUUGUCCCAUAUGUCAGUGACUCCCGAAUUCUUCUUUAAUUCGUCUGCAAGACUAUCUAGCUUUUCUAUGGCCAUAGUCACUUUACCAUUGGGCCCCGUGUUGUCUGGAAUGUAUGUGCAGCAUGUCAUGGUCUCAGGGAGGAUUUUACAUACUCCCCCUUUUUCGGCUAGAAUCAUAUCUAGGGCCAUUCUGUUCUGAAAUGUCAUUUGGGUAGUGGCUUGUAGUUGCUCUGCCAGGCCCUGUAGGGCAUCCCUUGUGUAGUUGACAAAGCGUUGCUGAUUAUAAUAGAUAUAGUUAAUCCAAUUGACAUUCUUGUUAGCAGUUAUCAUUGGGAUUAGGGACUCAAACCCUGCAGCCACUUCAUCUCUUGCUUUAAAUUCGUUAGGCACCCCCCUUGGCACACCUAUGGCAUCAAUAUACACAUGGGGGUCGAAACUCCCUCGAAUAGGGGUCUCUCGUUUGGUUCUAGAGUGUAUAUGUGUGAGGUUUAGCGUGUUAUGGUCACCAUCUGGAAUGAUGUGGAUAGGCAUUAUGACUUUGGUUAGGGCACACUCCCCCCACCAUUGCCCAGCUAAUUGGGGCCUUAAUUGUUUGUCACCACAUAACCAAUAGAUAUCACCGAUUGUCUUUGUGUGAUUCAUUAGCAGUGAUACAGGUGGACUAUGGUAAGUUGAGCAGUAUCCUGAUGGGAAUUUGCCCAGAUACAAACCAGUGUUUUCUGGUAUUGAAUAGCAUGUGUAAUUACCUGGGUAGAUGGUGACCCCAUCGGGUGGUUUCACAUGUCCAUGAGUGAUUGGGUAAAUCUUCUUCCAGGAUUCACAUGUUGAGGAGUUAGUGGUGGAUUGUGC